CCUUAGCGAAUUGGGAUGAGGAUAAAGUUGAUUCUUGCUCUUGGUUUGGGGUUCAGUGCUCCGCUGAUGGCAGAGUCUUGGUUCUGUACUUGAAGGAUCAUUCUCUUAAGGGUACACUAUCACCAGAUAUCAGCAAACUCAAGCACUUGAAUGCCUUAAUUUUACAUAACAAUUCCUUCUAUGGAGUUGUUCCUGUUGGCAUUGGGCAAUUGUAAAAGCUGGAGAU